rnacentral:rRNA from 1 species
AUUGAACGCUGGCGGCAGGCCUAACACAUGCAAGUCGAGCGAGCGGCGGACGGGUGAGUAAUGUCUGGGAAACUGCCUGAUGGAGGGGGAUAACUACUGGAAACGGUAGCUAAUACCGCAUACCAUCAGAUGUGCCCAGAUGGGAUUAGCUAGUAGGUGGGGUAACGGCUCACCUAGGCGACGAUCCCUAGCUGGUCUGAGAGGAUGACCGGCCAACCGGGAACUGAGAAACGGUCCAGACUCCUAGGGGGGGCAGAAGUGGGGAAUAUUGCAAAAUGGGGGCAAGCCUGAUGCAGCCAGGCCGGGUGUAGGAAGAGGGCCUUCGGGUUGAAAAGUACUUUCAGCGGGGAGGCGUUACCCGCAGAAGAAGCACCGGCUAACUCCGUGCCAGCAGCCGCGGUAAUU